ACAGCAGUCGCCACGGGAAUACGUAGGGUGCGAGCGUUGUCCGGAAUUAUUGGGCGUAAAGAGCUUGUAGGCGGUUUGUCGCGUCUGCUGUGAAAAUUCAGGGCUUAACCCUGGACGUGCAGUGGGUACGGGCAGACUAGAGUGUGGUAGGGGAGACUGGAAUUCCUGGUGUAGCGGUGGAAUGCGCAGAUAUCAGGAGGAACACCGAUGGCGAAGGCAGGUCUCUGGGCCAUUACUGACGCUGAGAAGCGAAAGCAUGGGGAGCGAACAGGAUUAGAUACCCCCGUAGUCCCUGUCUCUUAUAC
rnacentral:rRNA from 1 species